rnacentral:lncRNA from 1 species
AUGUUUUUCCUGCCGUGUGUCGCCCUCCCGUCCCCGGUGCGUUUAUUUGCCGAGCAGCUUGUCCGCCCCGGUGCUCCCUUUCCCCCUCAGCCCUGCCCGCCCCGGUGCUCCCUUUCCCCCUCAGCCCUGCCCGCCCCGGUGCUCCCUUUCCCCCUCAGCCCUGCCCGCCCCGGUGCUCCCUUUCCCCCUCAGCCCUGCCCGCCCCGGUGCUCCCUUUCCCCCUCAGCCCUGCCCGCCCCGGUGCUCCCUUUCCCCCUCAGCCCUGCCCGCCCCGGUGCUCCCUUUCCCCCUCAGCCCUGCCCGCCCCGGUGCUCCCUUUCCCCCUCAGCCCUGCCCGCCCCGGUGCUCCCUUUCCCCCUCAGCCCUGCCCGCCCCGGUGCUCCCUUUCCCCCUCAGCCCUGCCCGCCCCGGUGCUCCCUUUCCCCCUCAGCCCUGCCCGCCCCGGUGCUCCCUUUCCCCCUCAGCCCUGCCCGCCCCGGUGCUCCCUUUCCCCCUCAGCCCUGCCCGCCCCGGUGCUCCCUUUCCCCCUCAGCCCUGCCCGCCCCGGUGCUCCCUUUCCCCCUCAGCCCUGCCCGCCCCGGUGCUCCCUUUCCCCCUCAGCCCUGCCCGCCCCGGUGCUCCCUUUCCCCCUCAGCCCUGCCCGCCCCGGUGCUCCCUUUCCCCCUCAGCCCUGCCCGCCCCGGUGCUCCCUUUCCCCCUCAGCCCUGCCCGCCCCGGUGCUCCCUUUCCCCCUCAGCCCUGCCCGCCCCGGUGCUCCCUUUCCCCCUCAGCCCUGCCCGCCCCGGUGCUCCCUUUCCCCCUCAGCCCUGCCCGCCCCGGUGCUCCCUUUCCCCCUCAGCCCUGCCCGCCCCGGUGCUCCCUUUCCCCCUCAGCCCUGCCCGCCCCGGUGCUCCCUUUCCCCCUCAGCCCUGCCCGCCCCGGUGCUCCCUUUCCCCCUCAGCCCUGCCCGCCCCGGUGCUCCCUUUCCCCCUCAGCCCUGCCCGCCCCGGUGCUCCCUUUCCCCCUCAGCCCUGCCCGCCCCGGUGCUCCCUUUCCCCCUCAGCCCUGCCCGCCCCGGUGCUCCCUUUCCCCCUCAGCCCUGCCCGCCCCGGUGCUCCCUUUCCCCCUCAGCCCUGCCCGCCCCGGUGCUCCCUUUCCCCCUCAGCCCUGCCCGCCCCGGUGCUCCCUUUCCCCCUCAGCCCUGCCCGCCCCGGUGCUCCCUUUCCCCCUCAGCCCUGCCCGCCCCGGUGCUCCCUUUCCCCCUCAGCCCUGCCCGCCCCGGUGCUCCCUUUCCCCCUCAGCCCUGCCCGCCCCGGUGCUCCCUUUCCCCCUCAGCCCUGCCCGCCCCGGUGCUCCCUUUCCCCCUCAGCCCUGCCCGCCCCGGUGCUCCCUUUCCCCCUCAGCCCUGCCCGCCCCGGUGCUCCCUUUCCCCCUCAGCCCUGCCCGCCCCGGUGCUCCCUUUCCCCCUCAGCCCUGCCCGCCCCGGUGCUCCCUUUCCCCCUCAGCCCUGCCCGCCCCGGUGCUCCCUUUCCCCCUCAGCCCUGCCCGCCCCGGUGCUCCCUUUCCCCCUCAGCCCUGCCCGCCCCGGUGCUCCCUUUCCCCCUCAGCCCUGCCCGCCCCGGUGCUCCCUUUCCCCCUCAGCCCUGCCCGCCCCGGUGCUCCCUUUCCCCCUCAGCCCUGCCCGCCCCGGUGCUCCCUUUCCCCCUCAGCCCUGCCCGCCCCGGUGCUCCCUUUCCCCCUCAGCCCUGCCCGCCCCGGUGCUCCCUUUCCCCCUCAGCCCUGCCCGCCCCGGUGCUCCCUUUCCCCCUCAGCCCUGCCCGCCCCGGUGCUCCCUUUCCCCCUCAGGGAAGUGGCCGCGCCGCCCUCGGUCGGUGA